GCCGAGGAGCAGCUGGGAUGCGGAUGCACCGGCGGCUGGAAGGGAGGCGGAGGUGCAGAGCUACCGGCGGCUGGAAGGGAGGGGCCGAGGGCGAGAUGCAGAGCUGCCGGUGCCCAAGGAUGCGCCGGUGAGAAGUAGCCACCUGCCUUUCGUCGAUCCAGCGGACAGGCGGGAAGUAUCACACGGGAACCCUCUCUUCCACACGCGGGAAUGAUUUGGGGGCGGGUGGGCGACAAAUUUUGUAUCUCAUGAGUAGAGCGUCCGCCCGUCCUGCCGAUGCCAAACAGGGGAAGGCGGACACCUAACAGAGGAAGGCGGACGCCAUACGCGAGGAUAGCUAGGCGGCCUGGACUCCCAGCAAGCUGCAGCGCCCGGACGCCCAGCAAGCUGCAGUGCCCGGACGCCUAGGCGACGCCUUUAAAACCAUGAUUCUAGAUUCAUGGAGUGCCAGUACAAUGUAAUUCAUGUUUGAUCUAGAAAUUUAUAGGAGCAGAUUGCUUGUCGCAAGUCAGACAUGCUCCAAUCAGUUUUUAAUGUUUUAUUAACCCUUAUGCACACACCAUGUCUGUAUAGAUGCUUGAUUUAAUUUUCCUAUAUUCCCAUUCUUGUU